rnacentral:rRNA from 1 species
GACGAACGCUGGCGGCGUGCUUAACACAUGCAAGUCGAACGAUGAAGCUAGAGCUUGCUCUGGUGAAUUAGUGGCGAACGGGAGAGUAACACGUGAGUAACCUGCCCUUGACUCUGGGAUAACUGCUAGAAAUGGUAGCUAAUACCGGAUACGACCCUCGGAGGCAUCUUCAGGGGGUGGAAAGAAUUUCGGUCAAGGAUGGACUCGCGGCCUAUCAGCUAGUUGGUGAGGUAAUGGCUCACCAAGGCGAAGACGGGUAGCCGGCCUGAGAGGGUGACCGGCCACACUGGGACUGAGACACGGCCCAGACUCCUACGGGAGGCAGCAGUGGGGAAUAUUGCACAAUGGGCGCAAGCCUGAUGCAGCAACGCCGCGUGAGGGAUGACGGCCUUCGGGUUGUAAACCUCUUUUAGUAGGGAAGAAGCGAAAGUGACGGUACCUGCAGAAAAAGCACCGGCUAACUACGUGCCAGCCGCCGCCGUAA